AGACUAAAUAAUCUCAUCUGAAGUCUGACUCCCCUCUGAUGGAACGAACAGCACAGAAGAGUCCGCUGCUGCCUGGUCCCCAUCCCAAGACCUGCAGGCCCCCUGGCAGCUGUCUGCUGCCCUGCAGCAAGCCCCUGCUUGGGCCUGGGAGGAGGUCCUCCAUCACCUUCUGCUGCCAGGAGCCCCUGGCCUAGCCCCCACCCUGGGUCUGCUGCCACCAACCUGGGCCUAGGCCAUUCGCCCCUGCUCCAGAUGUGGAGCUGGAACUGCCUGAAGAGGCACCAGGACUGGACAUUGGCCAUGCUGGGCCUCGACUCUGCCAGCCAGAGGGGAAGCUGCUCACCCUGGAGGAUCACCAGGUACCAUUGCCCUGCUGGGCAAGACCCUGCCCACCGCAGUUGCUGCAGCAUGAGGACCCAUCGGGGAAUGGCCAGAGGCUGGGGUGCUGGCCACCUGUCCCUGGGCUCUGCCCCCUAGGUGCCUUUAUCCCAAGGCCGCUCACUCUGGGACUCCAGAAAAAAUCCACCUUGUACAUAGUUUCUGCAGGGAAGAGUGUUUCUUAUGGUUGUGGGGUAGGCUGGAUGGUGGAGGGGCUCUGUGUGUUGAGGAGGGAGGAUUUGUGUUGGAUGUGGGGGAAAUAAAGACUUUUUCUUCU